AGCGAACGCUGGCGGCAGGCCUAACACAUGCAAGUCGAACGGAUCCUUCGGGAUUAGUGGCGGACGGGUGAGUAACACGUGGGAACGUGCCCUUUGGUUCGGAACAACUCAGGGAAACUUGAGCUAAUACCGGAUGUGCCCUUCGGGGGAAAGAUUUAUCGCCAUUGGAGCGGCCUGCGUCGGAUUAGCUAGUUGGUGAGGUAACGGCCCACCAAGGCGACGAGCAGUAGCUGGUUUGAGAGGAUGAUCAGCCACACUGGGACUGAGACACGGCGCAGACUCCUACGGGAGGCAGCAGUGGGGAAUCUUGCGCAAUGGGCGAAAGCCUGACGCAGCCAUGCCGCGUGAAUGAUGAAGGUCUUAGGAUUGUAAAAUUCUUUCAGCGGGGACGAUAAUGACGGUACCCGCAGAAGAAGCUCCGGCUAACUUCGUG
rnacentral:rRNA from 1 species